GACGAACGUUGGCGGCGUGCUUAAUACAUGCAAGUCAACUGAAGCACCGGUAGUAAUACUGGUGUGGAGGUGGCGCACGGGUGAGUAACACGUAGGUAAUCUGCCUUCAGGUCUGACAUAACCCCGAGAAAUCGGGGCUAAUAGCAGAUGAUGCAGCGGCUUGACAUCAAAGACAGUUGUUAAAGCUUCGGCGCCUGAAGAUGAGCCUGCGUCUGAUUAGCUAGUUGGCGGAGUAAUAGCCCACCAAGGCGACGAUCAGUAGCUGGUCUGAGAGGAUGAUCAGCCACACUGGAACUGAGACACGGUCCAGACUCCUACGGGAGGCAGCAGUAAGGAAUAUUGCUCAAUGGGAGAAAUCCUGAAGCAGCAACGCCGCGUGAGGGAUGAAGGGCUUUUGCUCGUAAACCUCUGUAGUGAGGGAAAAAUUUCCAUUCUAUGGAAUAUGAUGGUACCUCAAAGUAAGACCCCGGCUAACUACGUG
rnacentral:rRNA from 1 species